rnacentral:rRNA from 1 species
AGUGAACGCUGGCGGUAGGCCUAACACAUGCAAGUCGAACGGCAGCACAGUAAGAGCUUGCUCUUACGGGUGGCGAGUGGCGGACGGGUGAGGAAUACAUCGGAAUCUACUUUUUCGUGGGGGAUAACGUAGGGAAACUUACGCUAAUAGCGCAUACGACCUACGGGUGAAAGCAGGGGAUCUUCGGACCUUGCGCGAUUGAAUGAGCCGAUGUCGGAUUAGCUAGUUGGCGGGGUAAAGGCCCACCAAGGCGACGAUCCGUAGCUGGUCUGAGAGGAUGAUCAGCCACACUGGAACUGAGACACGGUCCAGACUCCUACGGGAGGCAGCAGUGGGGAAUAUUGGACAAUGGGCGCAAGCCUGAUCCAGCCAUACCGCGUGGGUGAAGGAGGCCUUCGGGUUGUAAAGCCCUUUUGUUGGGAAAGAAAAGCAGCAGGUUAAUACCCCGCUGUUCUGACGGUACCCAAAGAAUAAGCACCGGCUAACUUCGUG